rnacentral:rRNA from 1 species
CAGUAGCCACGGGAAUACGAAGGGUGCAAGCGUUAAUCGGAAUUACUGGGCGUAAAGCGUGCGUAGGCGGUGGUUUAAGUCCGUUGUGAAAGCCCUGGGCUCAACCUGGGAAUUGCAGUGGAUACUGGAUCACUAGAGUGUGGUAGAGGAUAGUGGAAUUUCCGGUGUAGCAGUGAAAUGCGUAGAGAUCGGAAGGAACAUCUGUGGCGAAGGCGACUAUCUGGGCCAACACUGACACUGAGGCACGAAAGCGUGGGGAGCAAACAGGAUUAGAUACCCCGGUAGUCCCUGUCUCUUAUAC